UACAGAGGUCCCGAGCGUUGUUCGGAUUCACUGGGCGUAAAGGGUGCGUAGGCGGUGAGGUAAGUCGGAUGUGAAAUCUCCGGGCUCAACCCGGAAAUGGCAUUGGAAACUACCUUGCUGGAGGAUUUGAGGGGGGAUUGGAAUACUUGGUGUAGCAGUGAAAUGCGUAGAUAUCAAGUGGAACACCAGUGGCGAAGGCGAAUCCCUGGAAAAUACCUGACACUGAGGCACGAAAGCUAGGGGAGCAAACAGG
rnacentral:rRNA from 1 species